CGGCCUGGCACCUGACCUUGACAGUGAAUUUUUGCAAACAUUAGAAACCGAACGUUUUUCUUGCAACAGAAAGAAUCUAUAGAAUUUACAUUGAUAUUUAUAAAGGUAAGUAGAAAGAUAAAUAAUGUGCGCACCGCAAUAUAUAAGAUAAUACACUUGACGGUAAAUUGGUUUAAUAAUGAGAAACUGACAAGUGUGAAGUGAUAAUCUUUCCUGUGUUUCAUGUUUUUUCUGGUCUAAGAAUCAAAUUUGCAAAAGUCUGAGUCAUCAUUUUCACAGCUUCUCCAAAGCAGUAAGUUGCAGUUCCACUUGGUAGUUCAUUAUUUUCAGAUGCAUGUCAUGAAAUGUUUUGUGUGCAAAUCUGAUAGUGUUUUCAUUUUGUAAACAAAGAAUAUUAAAUAGUUACACAUGCCCAGAACUGGCAGUAGAGCAUCUUUUAAAAGCUGUCAUUGUGUUAUAUACGAUUAAAACUGAAAUGCCUAACAUGUUGCUAGUGUUUGAAGGCUUACUAUGAAUCCCCGCCACAUACAUGUACAUGUAAUUCUUCUGACGGGAGUCAAAAUAUCACGAAUUUUAAAGCUCUCUUCUGUCUCUCUAGUCCUAGAUUUCUCUGACGUUCAACAGCUGUUUUGCAAGACAAGCUGGGGCCGUGGGAUGUCAGAGCUCGUCCCAUAUUAAAAAGUGGAAAUUUGGCCAAUCCAAAAAAGAUCCGCUGCUUUGUUGCUUCUGGUGCCGACUAAUGGCAUUGGAAUUAGAUAAAUUGGGUAUACAAAAAUCUUAAUAAUCAGCAAGUAGGGAUCUAUAUAUAAGUUUGACAUGGUUGAAUAUUCUGACAACACAUACCAGCCAACUUUUGAAAGUGUCCGUGGGGGUUUUAGUGCCAGACAACAAUUUCAAAGGUUGCAAUUCUUUGUGGCGUAUUUUGCGGGUGCUGUUUUGCAGUCUAGAAGAAGUGUCAUAUUUGUAAGAUGAGUUUACAAGCCUUUUUCUCAAGUUUAUUUGCAGGAUUCUAGUUAUUAUAUCAAUAGAAAAGAUGAACAUUUAGCUAGAAGACCAGGAUUUAUUUUCUUGUGUCAAUGUGUGUUAGCAUAAUAAAUGAUUGUUGACUUUUGCAAUUUAAAGUUAUGCACAAAGAAGGACCUUUUUCAGGUUACCCCUCAAUGUAAAGUGUCAUAUUUGUAAGAUGAGUUUACAAGCCUUUUUCUCAAGUUUAUUUGCAUGAUUCUAGUUUUUAUAUCAGUAGAAAAGAUGAACAUGUACUGUAGCUAGAAGACCUGGAUUUAUUUUCUUGUGUUAGCUUAUUAAAUGAUUGUUGACUUUAAUUUUUGCAAUUUAAAAUUAUGCACAAAGAAGGAACUUUUUAAUGUUGGGAACAACACCCCAAAAUGAGGGUAACCCCUCAAUGUAAGGACAUUAUAAACCCCUUUUAAGAACAAAUGUGCACAUAUUUAUAUUUUUUUGAGAAAGUUUUCCCAAAGAACUAUUAAUCUAUCUGGUAUAUGGUCAAAACAUGUCCAAGAAUUUUGUGAUAUUCCUGGACAUUUAUCUUCUUUAUUAUUAAAAAUAAUAGAACCCAUCAUUUAAAAAAGUUGUUCCAAAUAUAAUGAAUUUUCUUUGUUUGAAGUUGAGAAAAUCUAAAAUUUUAUUUUUUUAUUUUUACAACAGUAAAAUGACCAUUUGUCUUCACUUAGGGACAGCUAGCAUGGAUACCCCUCAUUUGUAUGUUGGGAGAUGGGUUUGUUCCAUACCUGUUUGUUUAGUCCUGGUGAUAAAUUGUACUUUAAAUGAUUUGGUAAUUUAACAGGUUUAGUUGAAUACAAAAAAUGACAAAUGUUACAGCAAGUGUAAUUUCAAUAACAUAGUGAAUAAACUACUAUUUAUUAUCUUUAUGGUAGUAUUGCAUCGUUGCAUUUUGUUAAUCAGCUAUGUUUUUAUUCUUAAGCUGUGUAAGAACUUCCUUGCAGAUGAAAAUUCACCUGCCAUGUUCACGACUUCACAAUUCUGACUAACAGAGGAAUACAACACAAAGUCAAAAUCUAGCAUGUUAGGGAUUGUUUUCCCCAUGGGAACAGUUCAAAAUCGAGAACAAUAAUUUUUAUGCCCCACCUACGAUAGUAGAGGGGCAUUAUGUUUUCUGGUCUGUGCGUCCGUUCGUUCGUCCGUCCGUCUGUUCGUUCGUUCGUCUGUCCCGCUUCAGGUUAAAGUUUUUGGUCGAGGUAGUUUUUGAUGAAGUUGAAGUCCAAUCGACUUCAAACUUGGUACACAUGUUCCCUAUGAUAUGAUCUUUCUAAUUUUAAUGCCAAAUAAGAGAUUUUACCCCAAUUUCAGGGUCCACUGAACAUAGAAAAUGAUAGUGCGAGUGGGGCGUUUUGGGGAAAUUUUCACUAAAUUGUGUUUUGAGUUUUUUUCACGAUCAUGAUCGUGCAAUGGUGACAAAGGGUCAAAAUCGUGUAGUACACGCCUAAAUCGUGAAAAUUGGCGAGUAUGCAACUCCUUAUUGGAGUCAUUGGAUGAAACUUGGGAAUCUCUUGCAAUUGCUGGCUUGAUAGGAAUGAAAGUUAUACGGAUGGAAGAAAGAUGAUGAAGCAUACAGAUUUUGGGUGUACGUUCAAAGUGCAAGAUUACUGAUUUGUACGUACAUUUUGUAAACACGAAAAAAAUAAAAAAUUGUUUCCCUUGUCUGAUUUUAAUGAAACUUGUACAGAUGGAAAAGGGAAAGCCUAUCAGUUUUUGUGGUCAAUGUUUCAAAGAUCAAUUCACCUUAUAAAGCAAAAAUUAAGUUAGUUUCUAGAUGAAAACUUAACCUUCCAUUGGUUCAACUGGCAAAAAUACAGCAACCUUGUCGAAAAUGUUAUUCAAUUUUUAUACGACCCCAAAAAAUUUUUGGGAUCGUAUAAUGGUAUGAUGUCGGCGUCGUCUGAAGACACAUUGGUUUCCGGAUAAUAACGAGUUUAAGUGAAUAGAUCUUCAUGAAAUUUUUUCAGAAGGUUUAAUACCACAAGAGGAAGGUUGGGAUCCAUUUUUGGGCAUGAUGGUCACAACCGUGUAGUAAAUAAGGGGCCAAAAAGGGGCCAAAAACAAGCAUUUUUCUAGUUUCAGGAUAAUAACUUGUGUACAAGUAUUUCAAUUGCUCUGAAACUAUACCACAAUGUUUACAACCACAAGUAGAAGGUUUGGAUUCAUCUUAGGGGUUAUGGGGCCAAAGUUAACAUGGUUAAGGAAUUAAGGGCCAAAACAAGUAUUUUUCUAGUUUCCAGACAAUAACUUGUGUGUAAUUUUAUGGAUCUCUCUGAAAUUGUACCACGAUUUACCAUAUAACAAAGGGGAGGCUGGGAUUCAGUUUUGGGUUAAUUGCCCAAAAUAUGUAGGAAUUAGGGUCCAAAAAGUAGCAUGUUUCUAGUUUUCAAACAAUCAUAAUAACUUUUAUUUAAGUGUAUGGAUCUCUCUGAAAUAGUACUACAAGGUUCAAUACUACAAAGGAAGGCAUGGGAUUGAGUUUAAGGGUAAUUGCUUCAAGGGGGGUUUCAAUAAGUUGGGAGGAGAUUUUUUGUUUACCAUUUUUUUAAGGGAUUCCCUUUUUUUUCAAAAUUUUUCUAAUUUCAAAUUUUGAAAAGUUUCCAGAAGAAAUCUUCUAUCACACAGUAUUGUGCAAUAGAUUUAUUAGAUAUUUGACCACAUUAAUUUGUGACAAAAACCCUAUAUUAUGUCAAAAAUUUGAUCACAAUCCAAAUUCAGACAGUAUCAAGCUUGAAUAUUGUGACCAAAUUUGCCCCAACUGUUCAGGGUUCGACCACUGGGGUCGUAUAAAGCUGCGUCCUGUGGAGCACCUGGUUGAGGAAGGUAUUGCCCUCAAAUAACCAUUCUUGAUAUCUGUUUUAUUGUGUUCACUAGAAAAAUAUGCACAAGAUAGAAUUAGUGUUAUUUUGUUUUCUUUCUUAUUUUAAUGGUUACACUGGUGCCUGUGAUGAAAAUCCUUGUAACAACAUGUAACAAUGGCAAAAGAAAACUUAAUUUUCACAAUUUAAAAUUCAUGUUCCUAACAUUCACAUUAUUUUUUGUCUCACUUAAUGGAGUCAAAAAGCUAGACAUAGGUACAAUGUAUGCUGUUUCUGGUGACAGCAGUGACGGCAGCACUAACAACAAUGUAUUUUUUUGUGUCUAGUGUAUGGUGAACAACAAGUGGUAGGUCAUUCAUAUUUGGUUGUUGGCAGUUAUCUAAGCAUAGGCACAUCUCAUUUCCAUGGAGAUUAUUUAGCCCUACCCCUUAGUCAUGGUCUAUUGAUCUUGAAACAUGCUCAUUUUUCAUGUGUAAGUUUGUGAUUAGGUCAGUUUAUCAUGUUUAUGGGGAACCACUAGCAGUAGUUCAAUCAUAUUUGGUAAGCAGUUGUAUAAGCAUUGGCAUAUCUCAUUUCCAGGGAGAUUAUUUGGCUCCAUCCCCUUAGUAAUUGUCUAUUGGCUUUGACACUUUUGCUUAAUUUACAUACAUAUAUAUACAUGUAAGUUUGUAACAAGAUCAAUUUAAGAUGAACUGCUAAUGUUAAGUCAAUGAUGUUUGGUAUUCAAAUUUAUUGGCAUUUGCAAGUAUCAUUUCCAUGGAGAUUAUAUAGUCCCACCCCCUCUUUAUGGUUCAUUAAUUUUAAAACUUUUACAUAGUUUACAAGUUAAUGUUUGUAUUUUGGUUUGUCUAAAGGGAACGACUUAUAAGUCAACGGUAUUUGGUAUGCAGUUGUUUUAGCAUUGGCACAUCUCAUUUACAUGGAGAUUUUUUAGCCAUGUACCUCAGUCAUGGUUAAUUGACUUUGAAUUUUUGCCUAACUUAUGUACAUGUAACAUGUUUAAGUACAAAUGUAUUGCUUUUUUAAUUACAACAUUUGCAUUAUCAAAAUUAUAAAAAUGUGAGACAUAUCUCUGUGAUAAAAGUUUAUUUUAUUGGACUAUUUGAAAUUUAGCAUAGGGUUUUAUACCCACCAUGAAUUUGUCUGGUACAUAUACAUAGACUAGCCCAUGCAUAUGUUCAUUUAAUGUUACAUACAAUCUAGUUGUAAAUCCAACAUAGAUCAACAUCGAAUUUGGACAUGUUGGAGAUACAUUUUGAUAUCAUCAUGUACAUGUUGUUGUAUCCCAUCACUAGAUAGUUACUUAUGAUAACAGAUACGUAGACAUAAUGGAGUUACUUGUACCUUUCUACACAGGUAGAUGGUGAUAUGGACCAUUGUGAUAGUCGAAUCCUAAUCAGGUUUUAUAGGCUUUGAAUAAGGUGGCAAUAAAUAAGGUGGCAAUUUUGAUAAUUGCAAUUGCCAAGUAAGACACUUUUAAGAUGAACUGUUGUCUAACCAACUUUCUCACCAAAGGCACUCACAUACUCGGAUCUUUCAUUUUAUACACUGAAGUUAAUCACCCUCAUCAUCAUGUAACAAUUAUGUCACCACUCACAGUACUAUAACACCUGUAUCAUCUGUAUAAAGUAAAUCCAUUGACCUUGUCCUUCAUUCUAUUUCUAAGCAGCUUUCAUAUUUAUAUAUAGAUACAUGUAUGUCUAUAUUAUAGAAUAUAUAUAUUACCAUAAGGUCAAUCUGUAUAAAUUACAUCAUUGAACAAUCUGUGACAUAAUAUAACAUAAGAAUUUUGACAAUUUAAAACCUUGGAAAUCUAAAGGCAUUUCAAUUACAUGAAUUAGUAAAAUAAGAAACAUUUAAAGGCUCCCAGAACAGUUAACAUAAAAUUAAGAACGGAAUUUAUAGGGAAUGCCUUCCCCAGGUGGAAACAUGUACGGAACAGUUGGAUCAUCAUGACCUAUUUUUAGGGAUGAGCAACAGUGUAGAAAAUCAGUGUACCAUUUAAUUUUCAUAUAGGUUGAAGUGUAGGCUUUUUAUCACAUUUUGUAAGCACAUCUUGCAGUAUUUUUUGAAGCAUUCACUACUAGUACUAGACAAUUGAAUUUGAAGGUUUUAUGUUAAUUCUUUGAUAAGUGCAAGGUAACUAAUUAUAUUUGUAUAUCUAAAUGCCAUAUGUAAAUAAAGUCGAUAUACAUUUCUGACAUGAUGAUUAUAACAUAUUUUAUAGAAAUCGGUUAAGAUUAAUUUGGGAAAGAUUCCAGCAUCAGUUUUUGAUAGUGUUAUAUAGAUUAAUUAUUACAUACAAACAUAUUUACGUGUUAAGUUAGCAAAUUUAAAUAUCUUUUUUAUAGAAUUCAUUUAGUAGAUUUCUUUUUAAUGGUUACAUAUGAAAUUGAACCAACAUUGGCCUGUUACAGCCAGUCAUUUAGAUUGAUUUUAAAUAGAAACAGACCUCUCUCUAUCAUGGAAGGCCUAUAAUGAUCAAAAUGGAAUAUUUUUAGUUUUAUAUCUAUUUACAUUCAUUUCUGUGGUCAUAGAAAGUGACAAACUUGUAGAUAUUUUUUCUGUGUUACUUGUUUACAAAUGAAUUAUAACAUGUAUAUGACACUCUGGUCUCUGAAAUGAGUCAAAGUCCAUUGUUAAACAAAAAUUGAAGGAAGAAAUGGACUUAAUAUAAAUUUAAGCUACUGACAUUUGAAGUUUCUGAAAAUUUUGUGAUAUUUUAAAAUACAAACCACCAACAGUUACAAAAAAGUGACUCUAGUCGAUAACUAUCAUAAAUUUGCAUGAUUUGAUAAAAAUAUUGUUCAUAAAAUAUGACGUGAGAAGAUGUAUUUAAUAUAACAAAAAUGUACAUGUUGAAAGUAAGAAUAGAUGGACAGCACAUAUAAAGUAAUUUUAUACUUAAAACUAUUGUAAGAUUGUAUGAAUAAGAGUAAGAACACUUAAUCAUUGAUUCUUAAGAAUCUUAAACACUUAAAAAAAAAAAUGGGGGUCCAAAUGGCCCAAGCACAAUUGGUUUGAAAUAUGUUAAAUGAUUAUAAUUAAUUGAGUUGAAGAAAUAUUUUUCUCUCAAUCUAUGAGUUUCAGGUUUUUAGCCAGUAAUAUCAGUUAUAAUGGAAAUAAAAUUACUAAUUUUCAAAAGCAAGUAUCAUGACAGUUCAUCAUCCCUCCCUGUGUUACUGUCAAAACAAGUUACAUGAUUAAACAAAUUGAUACUAAUUGAGUAAUUGUAAUGAGUUUAGAGGCUUCCAUGUUCACAGUUGUAAAUGUUGACUUGUUUGGUUAACCUUUAAUUUAUAAAAAAAAGAGAAGAAAAUGAUCUUACAUGUAUAAAAAUAUAUUUUAAAGAUCGAAGAUUUAAAGUUAAGAAUGUCAAAUUUUAUAACAAGCCCUGUACAAUAUAUCAUGUCGAGUGCCAUGUAAACAGUUUGCAUUCUCAAAGUGAAAAUACUUGUAACCUUCAAUCAUAUUUCAUCAUGCAGAAGUGUUACAUGGUUUUAAUCAAGAUCUUAAAAUAAACAAAUUGAAAACAUUUAUAUUACCUAAACUAAUACUUUAUUGGUAUUGUUAUGGAUUUAUAAAGGAAGUUGAGUGUAGACAAUGCAUAAAAUAUAACCUUAUUCUUAUGAGGAAAUAAGAGUAAAUAACCUUCGAUUCCUGAAUAUUUAGAGACGUCCAAGUGUAGAUGAUGCAUUAAAUAUAACCUUAUUCUUAUGAGGAAAUAAGAGUAAAUAACCUUCGAUUCCUGAAUGUUUAGAGACGUCCAAGUGUAGAUGAUGCAUUAAAUAUAACCUUAUUCUGAUGAGGAAGUAAGAGUAAAUAACCUUCGAUUCCUGAAUAUUUAGAGACGUCCUUGUCUCAGAAAAGAAUGCUUAAGUAGGCAAUAUCAAAUCAGUUGUUCGUUGACAACGAUGGUAAUUACAAAAAGUAGGAUAGGACACUUACAAUUCUAUUACAAAGUGUAAUUGGUUUUAUGUUGCGUAGAAUAUACAGUAUGUAAAGCUGGAUAUAUAUUUAUGACAAAAGUCCUUAUAGAGUGUGUUAUACAUAAAAAGGACAAUUCAAACCACCCAAUAUGCUAAACAGCACAACACACCAUUUCAGCCACCUACACACUAUUCCAACUUAUUACAAACACUUAAUAUGGAACAACACAUAGUCUAGAUAGUUUGACUUGGAACAAGCAGAAAAUGUGGUGGUCCAACUAACACAAACUCCCCCCUUUUGUUAUUUUACACCAUGACAUGUAGACCACAUGUAAACUAGAACACAUUGACUGAUAUGGAGUGUUAUCAAUCUUAAUCUAAAAAGACUUUGCAUAUUAAUUAGUUUUUGGGAUACGAUUGCUUUCAAGCAAUCUGUAGACUUAUACCGGUGGCUCAGGACAAUGCCCUCACGUCAACCGUUUUAUUCUAAACAUUAAGGACCAUCUCAGAUUCUUAUGAUUGUCUUGGUUUAAAAGGUAAAAACAAACAAAGGGAUUGAACUUAAACAACUUUCCUAUAAUGUUCUUUUCAUAAUCUUCAUGUUUGAUAUUUCCCUUGACUUAUAUGCGUUUUAACAACACGGAAAAUCAUGCAGAAUCAAGCAGUAUUUAUAUUUAGUGUUUUUAUAAAUUUAGAAACACGUCAGAGGGAAUCCCCCAGUUGUUGCGAGAGUUCUCUGAAUUCCGAUAAAUCUAUUUCUGUCAUAUAAGAACUGAAGUGGAGUUUUACUUAUAUGUCGCCGUUAUUAAACUGAUAUUUGAUAUUGUACUUCCAUAAAAAAUAGAGAACCAUUUAGGUUUAAUAUACGUUCUUACUACAGGGUUUGUUUAGGUAAUUAUGCGCAUGCGUAUAGUUUUCUUGACUUCAAGGGGUACUAGGUUAAAUGUUUGCUCUGGAUUCCCCACUCGAUUGAUUAAUUUAUAACUCAUGGGAUCCUUUUUAUGAAUGUCUGCUAUUGAUGGUUAUUGUUGCAUAAUUUUAAAUCAUACUAGAACACACCCGUGAUAUCGCGGGUCCGUGACUGAAUUAAAGUAUAUAACUAUGCGCAAGCAUUAUUUUAGUAUUAUUAUUGUCAUCUGAUAAAGUCAUGCCGAUUAUAAGAUACACAGUUCUCUCUGCUUUCAAAUCUUUCUGUUUGAACCCGUCGAACUGGAACUUAUCAAAUGAAUUAUUGGUAAUAUUAAUUAUUUGGAAAACAAAAGGUCCUGGAAUGGAGUAUUUUUUAAUCAACAGCAUUGUCCUAUAUAAGUUAUAAAUAAAGUUGAAUUCUUUGAUUCGCUGUUUUACGUCAUGCCCGCUAACAAAUUGAAAACUGUACCUAUACGCCUUAUUUUUAGUCCAGAUUUUAAGUAUUCGUAUUGUUAUCUUAGAAAGUCUUACUGAUUAAAAUACUACAAUAGGUAACAAUUCGACAAUUUAGUAGUGUCAACCCUGUGAUUAUGACCCGUGUAUAUAGCAUAUUAAUCCUGAAUACACCGUUUGUUGGUGCGCCUGUCAGAUGCGGAACGUACAGAUAAGGUAAUAGGUAACAGGUGAAUAUACUAUUGGUAUCGGUAUCGGACUCGACCCAGAACUUCUUAAUUAUUGGCGAUAUUAAUUACGUGGAAAACAAAAGGGCCUGGAGUGGUGUAAUUUUUAAUCUACACCUUUGUACUAUAUUAGUUAUAUAUAAAGUUGAAUUCUUUGAUUCGUCGUUUUUACGUGAUGACGGCUGACAAAUUGGACCUCGUAAUUUUAGUAUUAUAGAUGCAUCAUUUAAAUUAAAAUAAAUUAGUCCACAUAUCGUUAUGGUUUAUUUUCAACACCCCUUCAGGCGAAAUGGAGUCUUCCAUAUUAUCGUCCGUGAAUUCUGAAUCCAAACAUUACGUUGAGAAAAUUUAACUCGCUCUGGCGAUAAACUUCGUAUUAUAUUAAAAACGAUCGCAAUUUAAACCGAGGAAUGUGUACGGAAAGGAAUCAUGAUCACUGACCCAAAGGAAAUUCAAUAUUUAAAGAGAUAGGAAUGGGGUUCCUCCUAGAAUUAACGUAGGAAAAUAGGUGAUAAGAUACGAAGUGAAAUACUUCUCUCACUCGGAGUCUCAGUGACUGCUGUGGAAAGUAAACUUGGAAUUGAUAGUACAAAAAUAAAACACAAUAGGCCUAGGUACAUUGUUCAUACACUUCUAACCGGGAUCGGCUAUUUUGUCACUAUUCAGAUUACGCAAAUUACAUUUUACAUGUGCAGUUGAAUUAGUUUUGAAAAUAAUAUUAUCCAGCUACAUGUACAUGUAUACAUGUGUCAAUGAAAACAAUGGCAAUCGUAUCCCUCAGAGCAAUCUGCUCUUUGAUUUUUAUUCACUUCAUAUAAAGAUGAUUUUUUCCUUAGAUUUUUCUUAUAGGAUAAAACACCAAACUUCCAAAACAAGGUAGGCUCACUUUUCUUUCUUUUGUGAUCAAAAUUUACAAAGAUUUAAAGUUAAAUUAUAUGAAAAAGUAAAAUCACAAAAAUACUGAACUCAGAGGAAAAUAGAAAAUCAAAGUCCAUAAUUAAAUGGCAAAAUCAAAUGAUAAAACACGUCAAAUUAAUGGACAACAACUGUCAUAUUCCUGACUUGAUACAGACAUUUUCAAAUGUAGAUAAUGGUGGAUUGAACCUAGUUUUAUAGCCUUAAACCUCUCACUUGUAUGACAGUCACAUCAAAUUUCAUUACAUUUACAACAUGCAUGAACAAAACAGACAUAAUAGGUAACAUUGUCAAAAUAUGGGUACAGCAGUCAUCACUUUGAAUGACAUAUAUUUGGGAAAUAUUUUACAAUGCAUACACAUUAAUUAGAAUUUUUGAAAAUGUAGCCAAUUUGUCUUCAUUUUGAGCUUGAUAAAUAUACUUAAGGAUUUUGAAAAAUAAUAUAAUUCUUGUUUUGAGCCACAGUCACUACCAAAUGAAAAUAAGAAGAUGACACUGGUUUCAUUGCCAAUGACACAACUUGCCACAAUAGACCAAAUGACAUAAAAGCAUGAUUUUAAUUACAAAAUAUACUAUCCAAUAUUACAUGCAUUGGUUUGAAAUUGGAACAAAACUCAGGGAUUUGAUAGUUUUUUGUCGAGCCUGCAAAUUUUGUUGCAGAAAGCUCGCCAUAGGGAUAGUAAUCGGGCGGCGGCUACGGCGGCGGCGUUAGCUAACUUCGUAAAAGCUUUAUAUUUUAGAAGGGGGAAGACCUGGAUGCUUCAUACUUUGUAAAUAGAUGCCUCAUGUUACGAAGUUCUGUCAGUCACAUGUCCAUUGUCCUUGACCUCAUUUUCAUGGUUCAGUGACUACUUGAAAAAAGAGUUCAGAUUUUUUGUGAUGUUGAAUUCUCUCUUAUUAUAAGUAAUAGGAUAACUAUAUUUGAUAUGUGCAUACCUUGCAAGGUCCUCAUGUCUGUCAGACAGUUUUCACUUGACCUCGACCUCAUUUCAUGGAUCAGUGAACAAGGUUAAGUUUUUGGGGUCAAGUCCAUAUCUCAGAUAUUAUAAGCAAUAGGGCUAGUAUAUUCUAUGUAUGGAAGGACUGUAAGGUAUACAUGUGUUUUGGUCUGUUUUUCUCAUACUAUAUGCAAUAGGUCUACUAUAUUUGUUGUAUGGAAUGAUUGUAAGGUGUACAUGUCUAGCGGGCAGAUGUCAUGUGACCUUGACCUCAUUUCAUGGUUCAGUGGUCAAAGUUAAGUUUUUGAGUUUUGGUCUUUUUAUCUAAUACUAUAUAUGCCAUAGGUCAACUAUAUUUGGUGUAUGGAAAUAUUUUAGGAUCUUUAUGUCAGUCACGCAGGUUUUAUUUGACCUUGACCUCAUUUUCACGGUUCAUUGCACAGUGUUAAGUUUUUGUGUUUUGGUCUAUUUUCUUAUAGUCAUAUGAAACGAGUGAGUGGUGAAAAAUAAUGUUUAUCCAAUUCCUGAAUCAAUGCAUGUGUAUACCAUAAACUUAGCUCUCUGUGCACGAUUUUAUCUUUUUUUACGCAAAUAUAUCGUUCAAUAGUAAUUUUUUUCUCUCUCUCUGUCUGUUAUGAUUUAACAAAUAUGGGUACUCAUUAAAUGUCGUGUUUUGAAGCCGAAAGUUUAACGACUGACACCUUAUAGUAAACAAAUAACUAAGAGCAUGGGUUUUCAGCACGUGUUUAACAUGUAUAAUCAAAUAUUGUUUAUUUUAAUGACAGAUCCAUGCGUAUUGCGAUCACCGGAUUUUUACGAGGAGGGUCACGCUCAGGUCACUAUGCAUACGGAAAAUAUGUCGGCGAAUUGCUUUCUGGAAGCAAGCAAUUAAGAAUAAGUAGACUUCUUCUAAAUGUGGACAAAUUAAAGAAUUUUCCUCAGAAAAAUUAUAUGUACAUAAGUUGCAUAAUGAAAACUAUCCAUUUAGUUAUAAAAAAAACAUAUGCAUAUUUUUUUUAAUUUGAGGUUUCUUAUGACUUUAAACUAUAAGUAAUAGGUCAACUAUAUAUGUUGUAUAGAAGCAUUGUUAGCUGUACAUGUCUGCCUGGCAUGGUUCAUCUGACCUUGACCUCAUUUUCAAGGUUCAUUGGUCUUUGUUUAGUUAUCUUGGUUAAUGUUAAGUUUAUGUGACAGUUGUAAUAAAGCUUUAUACUUAGGACUAUCAACAUAAUAUCAAUGAUUAGUAUAGAAGGCGAGACAUUUCAGCGUGUGCACUCUUGUUUUUUUAUAAGUGUAGGCCUAUGAGUGAUUGAAAGAUUACAAAACUCCAAUCUGAUUGCUGAAUUUUGUACUGAAAGAAUGACGACUAGACUUCCAAUUGAAACUCAUUCAUUGAUAUUUUUGCUUAUUCUUUCAACAGAGUGGAGUUUAAAAGCAAAUAUCCCUCAAAUUGUUUUUAAGAAAUACAUGUAAAGGGGAUUUUUUUAUACAUCCGUAAAGUUUCUUAAUUGAAACAUAUUUGAAUGAGCUAUAGUUGAUUAAGCUUUCUUUAUAUGUCUUUUAUAUGUCUUUUAUAUAUAUAUGUGCUUGCACUUAUAAGGAUAUCAAUAUUUAAAUAUUUUCAGUAAAUACAGCUUAGUGUAAGAAAUAUAGUAAGGUAAAAAUUUUUAUAAUAGAAAACGACAUUAGAUGAGAAAUUUUAAAAGGUCCUUUAAUAAAACCAUUUCAAUGACUAUUAUGUAUUUUUUUUCAAACUGCGUUUCUUUACCUAUUGAGGUUUUUUUUAUUAAAUUAUUUUACUAAAACUAGUACAGUAUGAACUGUACAUUGAUUGAUCUUCUGAUCUUUUGCUUGACAUUUACAAGAUUAUUCUAUAAUAAAGUGCAUUUGCACUUGAGACAGAUCUAUGAGUUUGAUUUUUCUGGUCAAUAGUUAUUAUACUAAUUAUGUACGAGUGUGAUGAAAAUCAAAUUGACUUAUUAGUUUUGUUCUGUAAAAGAGUCAAUGAUUGUUUUACUUGUUUGGCAAAAUGUCUGAUGUUGCUAUUUCAGAGUAGCUGUACAGAGUUUGCUUUAGCAAUGAUAUUUAAGAUGAUUGCAAAGUUUUUGCAGUGAUUAUGUUGUAGUCCAGUCUAUUGACACAAUCUUUUCCAUCCUAUAUGUAUUGUUAUACCUGUAAGUGAUUGAUCAGUAAAAAAUAUGUUUGUUGACAAAGAAAUACCAGGCAGUAGCUAGACUGUUCUUCUUUUUCGUCCCGUCUUGUCACUGCAACCAUGUGUACAGUUUUUGUCAAGAUUUUUAUAAAAUUUAUAUCAUAUCAUGAGCAAUUCAUGUGACAACUUUAAAAAUCAAUGACAAUCCCUGUUAGAUAUUUUUAAAGGAGUUAUGCGCUGUGGAAAUAUUAAUUAUAUCGGAAUUUGCACUGCAUUUGCUCUGAAGCCUUCAUUUCUCAGACAUAUUUUUAUGCAGUUCAGGAGUUAUGGGAAAAUGCCAUAUUAUGUUUCUGUACUAUAACUUUAUGAAUUGCUUAACUAAUCUUUUUAAAAUUUAAAUAAUGAAUAAUAAAACACAUUGGACAGAAAGCUUACUAGAGUUAUGGAACUUUGACCAUUUUCUGAACUAUGGACUAUUGUAAUGAAAUGACACCUUGACUGUGAAGGCAACUUCUCUUGAUCUUCUUGGAUUGUUUAACAGAAGGCUCUCUUAUUUGGUAGUUGUGUUUGCCGUAGUCUGUUUUUGACCAUAUUGUACAUUCAUUUUGAUUUGAUCAUUUUUACGGGAGUAAUGGGACUUUAUAACUUGUUGAGACUAUCAUACAUGUACCACAAUGACACUUUGUGGAUGCAACUCUUCUUGAACUGUUUUCAGAAAGCUCUCAUAUGUGGUAGUAUUGUUUGCCAUCAUUUGUAGUAGGCCAUAUUAUACCAUCAUUUUGAUUCAACCAUUUUUACCAGGUAAAUGGGACUUUGACCAUUUUGUUUUAAUAUUGUAUCUCAUUUACAAUGACUCAAUGGUUGGCUUAUUGUUUAUCAAUCAAAGUCAAAAGCUUGAAAUACACACUUUAAUCUUAUCUUUUCCCCUGAUGUACACCUUUAUUCUAUACACAUUACAUAAUUUUAUUUGUCAUUUAUAUAUACAGAUGGGGAAUGAUUAUGAGGGCAUUUCACUACAGUGUUAUAGUCUUAUAAUUUUAUUUGACUUUAUUAACUGAAACCAGGCUAUUCAGGUUCUCUUGAAAUGUUUCACAUAUCUAUAAUACUAAAAUUACGAGGUCCAAUUUGUCAGCCGUCAUCACGUAAAAACGACGAAUCACAGAAUUCAACUUUAUAUAUAACUAAUAUAGUUACAAAUGUAGAUUAAAAAUUACACCACUCCAGGCCCUUUUGUUUUCCACUUAAUUAAUAUUGCCAAUAAUUAAGAAGUUCCGGGUCGAGUCCGCUACCGAUACCAAUAGUAUAUUCACUGUUACCUAUUACCUUAUCUGUACGUUCCGCAUCUGACAGGCGCACCACCAAACGUUGUAUUCAGGACUAAUAUGCAGGGUUGCAAAGUAUUACCCGCCCGGGAAACCCAGCGGAAUUCCGGGUUUUUCCCGGGCUGGCAAUACUCCAGAAAUAGGUAAUACUGGUAAUACUGGGCAUAAGACUUUUUAAGCUUAUUUUAAACAAACUAGUAAAGUCUUGUUGUGUUUCAUAUAUUAUAGCUAAAUAUAUACAUUUUAUACAGAUAACAUUGACAUCAUUUUCUAGAAGAUUGAAAAUUCAAUUUCUUCUUUCUCCACUACUUCUAUGUAGGCAGAAUACAAAAUUUGAAUAUUUAUAUUAUUUAUACCUUGUUAAUUUCAUUAUGUUUCAACUAUUCAAACUUAAAAAAAUGCAUUUUAUAGCAGUGUUUAUGUGAAUUAUAAAUUUAAAUGUCUAUGCAAUCAUAUUGCUAAAUAAACACCUACAGGUCAGGUCAUUAACCUUAUAGAAAUGAAAAGGCUGAAUAUUGUUAUAUAAACAUAUCAAUGUCCUAAUCUGAAUAAUUACUUAUUAAUUAGGGAUGCUCAUAUAAAUUAUGCAAAAGUAAUUUUUCUAACAUUUUCUUGUUAAUUCUUAAUGUAAGAUAUAUACAUUUAAAAAUAAUCUUUGUAUUUAUGUUAACAGUUAGACCAAUCUAGACGAGAGAUUUAAUAGACUUUCUGAAGAGAAUUAUUGAUCAAGGCCUUUUCCAUUAAUAUUUGUAAUGUGUGCCUACAUUUUACUUGUCUCAUAGUUGCAAGAAUAGUACUUUUUCAAAUUUAUAUACACUUGUAUUAUCACUCUCAAACAAGUAAACUAAUUUAUAAAUCAAAAUGUGUUUAUAAAUAACUUAAAUGUAUUGCAAUUGAGUUUGAUCACUGAAUCCUCUUUAAAAUUUAGGCCAGUAUUUUAUAUUACCCUAUUCCCAUUAAAAACCCAGUAAAACCCGGGUUUUCCCAUAUUUCCCACUGGCUGGGCAAUACUCAUAAACGGUUUUUGCCAACCUGCUAAUAUGCUAUAUACACGGGUCAUAACCACAGGGUUGACACUACUAAAUUGUCAAAUUGUUACCUAUUUUAGUAUUUUAAUCAGUAAGACUUUCUAAGAUAACAAUACGAAUGCUAAAAAUCUGGACUAAAAAUAAGGCGUAUAGGUACAGUUUUCAAUUUGUUAGUGGGCAUGACGUAAAACAGCAAAGCAAAGAAUUCAACUUUAUUUAUAACGUAUAUAGGACAAUGCUGUUGAUUAAAAAAUACUCCAUUCCAGGACCUUUUGUUUUCAAAAUAAUUAAUAUACCAAUAACUGAUAAGUUCCAGUCAACGGGUUCAAACAGAAAGACUUGAAAGCAGAGAAAAAUGUGUAUCUUAUAAUCGACAUGACUACAGAUGACAAUACUAAUACUAAAAUAAGGCUUGCGCAUAGUUGUAUACUUUAAUUCAGUCACGGACCCGUGAUAUCACGGGUGUGUUCUAGUAAUUAUUAAGGAUCUUUCAUAGUUUUGUAUAUGAAUUUUGCUCAAUGUUGAAGACUGUCCUGUUUCCUAUAUAGCUAUUUAAUUUGGUCCUGGUUAGAUAGUUGUCUGCUUUGCAGUCAUACCACAUUUCCUUAUUUUGAUAUUUGUACUGCUCCUAUUUGUAAUAAGCUGCAUAGGAUUGCCGGUAAUAGUGUUGAUAUCAGUACUUAGACCAUUAUAGUUCUUGUACGAAAAAUUACGUAUUUGCAUUACAGAAAAUCUCAACCUGACAUUAUUUGUGAUUACCGACAUAUAUUCUAUAUGAAAAGUCUUAUCCUAGAACAGCAAAAAUGCAUUAUUGUUAUGUGAACAAUCUUGUGUUUUAUAUAUGUCAUGUCAAUACAUAUGCUGUGGGAAUUUUUAUCUGCUUUAUUUAUCUACUUGUAGUUAGACUUAUGUUGAUUUCUUUUCUAUUUUAGGCAUUACUUUCUAUUUGAAAUGUGUGUUAUCGUUUGAUAUUUAACAAUAGUUAUAAACAUUGUUUCCAUGGUUGAAAAGGUUACAUAUUUCCAAAUUACAUAAACAAGUCUGAUAUUUUUUUCUUAAAUCGGUCAGAGCUGAACUAGUUGAAUGAUGUAAGAAUAAUAUUUAUUUUGCAUUUUUAUGUUGACAGAUGAAUGCAUAAUCUAUCAUAAUUUCCUGUUUUACAUUGUAUGCUGGUAUGGCGUAAACAAAUUGUUUUAAUGAGUGAUCUUUGUAUUAGGUUAGGUUAGGUGUGGUUAAGUUUUGUAAAAAGUCACUAAAAAUUGAUUUCAUCAUGUUCAAUAUAUACAAUCCUGAAACAGCAGUGGUAAGUCAACUUCUUUUAUUAUAUCAGGGUGGCGUUGUUAUUGAAAUCUGCCUCACUUAAUUUGCAGAGAAUGUUUAUUAUGUACAUUUUACAAAAUUCAGAUGGAUUAAAAUGAAAUUUUAUUUUUUACAGGUGAAGAUAUUGUUGAACUAUUAUACACCAAGUAUUCUGAAUGUUGAGACUAAGAAUUCUGUCCGGUAGAUACUUGAAACAGCCAUAGAUAUUUAGUCAGGUAUGUUUUUAAACCAUUGUAGUGUAAAAUCAGAUUGAUUUAACUUAUUUAUUUUUGGUUAGAAUCUUUUAAAAGGCUUUUAUAUAUAUAUAUACUUAAUGGUAACAAUAUUUAAGAAAGCAAAAGUAAUUCCUCAAACAUAGAAGAAGCUCUCUGUAAUCAUGUGAUAAUUUUGUAGAUUUGAUUGUAAAAUCACGAAAUCAAACUUGAAAUCCUUUUACAAAUAAUUAAAUCAUUAUCGGGAGUUUUAUGUAGAAGCACAGCUCUUUUUUUUCUCUAAAUGUUAAAUGCAAUCACUGUUCAUGAAUCUAUUUGUGAUUUAAGAAAUUCAAAAUUUUAGGCGGUACACUGGUGGAUGGCUACAACACCUUCAGUAAUGACUAUUCACAUGUGUUAGAAACUAGACUUCUUAAUUCUAUUAAUCAGGUAUUAAGGAGUAAGAGCAAAGACUGUUAGGCCGUGAGUCAGUAUAGAUUUUCCAGGAAGGUGGACAUGUCUUCCUGCAGAACUAGUGGACUAGCACAUUUAAAAUCUGGCUCAGAUUGUUGGUCUAUAGAAUCACAUCAACAUGUUCUUAUUCUUCAAUAUGCAUUUAAUUUGCCUUUUGAUUACCAACAAUCCAUUCAUUCAUCUAUUAAUCAGAAGAGUUGUAGAACUAGUACUAGUAAUGCUAUAAAAAACAUUUUAAUAUUUUAUUCCACAGGUUAACAGACAAUACAAAUGUUACUGGUAGUAUAGGAAAUGAAACUGUACAAUAAUGUUAAUACCAUGACAGAUACUCAUAGUUCU
rnacentral:lncRNA from 1 species